CUUUCUAAAGUUCUACAGUACCUUGAGAUUUAUUUUGGCCAUUGUUAUUUUCCACGGUACAGAGCUACGUUUUUAAAAGAUGUGGCAAGCUCACAGCAACUUGAUUGGAUGCUUUUAAGACUGAGAAUAAUUCCACCCUCAGGUUUCCAUGUCACAAUUAGAUUGAAAAAAAAAAAAAAUUAUGAGAGAGAACAAAAUGGCUUUAAAAUACCAUAAAAGAAAAAAAAAUCCCACAUUUUAUAGGGAAGUGAAGUCAUGGUUUUAUUGAGGAAUGUCUUGGUUUGAUGGGGCAUGUUUUUUUAAAUGUCACUUUUUUUCCUUUUCAUUAACCUAGUGAGAAGAACAAAGCAGAACAGGUGGUGUGGAUGUACUACAGUUCUGCAGGUAAAUAACUAGGAAAUAAGAUCUUUCCUUCAAAUGGAACUAAAAUCUCUAUUCUCUCCAAAAGGGGGGUUGCUAAAAACAAAGCAGAAUUUAAUGCUGCCACCAGAAGGAAGAAACCAAAACCAAAGAUCUUGUGGCAUUUGCUCCGAAAAAGACCUCCAGCGGCCUUGAAAAUAAUGUUCUUUUACCAGUCCCGGGAGUGCUUAAGACUGUCAAUCUUCAGGGAAGACAGAGGAUUAAAAUCCUGGUCACAGAAUUUCUGCUGACAGGUCCUGUAGAGACUUUUUAACGGGCUUGAGAAGGUUUUGUUGCUUUUUUUUUUUUGGGUAAUAAUUGCAUUAGUCAUUUAGAAAUAUAAAUAAUCUUGAAAACAUUGGCACAAAGAUGGUAAUAAAUAGAUGAAUCCAAUGGUCAACCAGCAGCCCAUCUUCUAAUACAGAGUGCAAGUAUGAGGCAUAGAUAAUCUCAACUGCCAAAAACUAAAAUACUGGAAUAUUUUAGAAAAGCCCUACAAAGGUCACUUUUGACGUUUUGAAUACAUUUAUAUGUAUCCCCACAGCAAUCUGCAACAAUAUAUAAAUAUAUUGGGAAAAAAUAGCAAAGAAGAGAGGCAGAUAUGUUCACAUUCAUAGUAUCUGAGCAUUCCAAACCCAAGCUUGGGGUUAUACAAACAAUAGGUUCUGAUUUUUUAAAAUUUACUUAUUUCUUCUUUGCAACUCAAAAGAAUCUGUAACCAAGAUUUGUCUUGUACCAAGGAAAACAACAGGAUUGCUCCAUGACCCAUUUUUUCUGGCCUUAUCAAACAAAAUCACAGUCACGCCACAUUUUAAGAGAGAUUCUACUUGACUAACAUCUGCAAACACUAGAUGGAAUAGCUUUUCCCUUGGGCUUUGGAAAAUCUUUCAUACGGUCUUGAUGUUUAAGAGAAGGGGGAAAAAAGAGGAGGCAAAAUAAUUGGAGUCUACAGUUCUCUAUUCUUCUGGAACAAAUCUGAAAAAGGAUAGUCAACAUGUCACUAACAUAUCACUUCCCUUAAUUAAUGAGAAUCAGCCCACAAAAUUUCCUUAAACAGCUCCACCCUUUCUUCUUCGUUGCCUUUGGUCCCUGUGGCUUCACUAACACUAUACUGCCAAGAUAUGGAAAAUGCUGGUACCCACUAUCCAUCUGGUGUCUUUUAAGAAUUAAAAAAUAACAAAGCCAAUGACCACACAAUCAUAGAUUUGGAAAAGGCUACUGAGGUCACUGAGUACAUUCCUGUGGUCGGUGCAGGAAUGUUAAAUAAAACAUCUCUCCAAGAUAGCUCCCCAGACUGUGCUUGACUACAUCCAGUGAAGGAGAACUCACCAUCUCCUUUGUAACUGCACUGAACUAGCCCUCCCAAUAGGAGAUAAUGACACCCAGAUCCUGCAGCCUAGGAUGACAAAGAAGAGGUCUAAACCUUCUUCCCUGUGACAGCUAUCAUACUAUCCCUCAUUCUUCUCUUCUCAAGGAUAGACAUUCCCAGUAUCUGCAAUGUUCUCAUGUGACUUAGUUUCUGUUAUAUGAGAAUCCUCACUAAUCGUCUUUGCCACUGUUUUCCAGAACCCCUUUUCAGUGUGGUGCCAAGAAUUAGAGUUUUUGAGGUGGAAGUCUAAUCAAUACAGAAUUUGACCAACUAUGUUCUAGCCAUGCAAAGCACGCUUUAAAAAUUUCAAAAGGUCUAGAUGAGGCUGGUACUAUUUCUGUGAAUACUGACUGCUGUAAUCACAUGUCAAAACUCAAUAUAGUUGAACAGGAAAUUGGGACCCCACAAUGAAGUAUGGUUCUUAACUCACCAUUCAAAACUCGAUACUUCUAAAAAAAAAUUUUUUUUUCUUGUUUUCUUUCCUAUAUUGCAGUAAGUGGAGAAGGAAGAUACAGGUUUUAAAUAUAUUCAUAGCCAAAAAUCUGAAAGCUAUGAUGUGUACGUUGUUGGCUGAUUAUAAUAAUAGGCAACAACAGUUAGGGCUAUCAGGCAAGCACUUACAGGGGAAUUUAGUUCCUUUCCCAAAUCAAAAGUUAUCUUAAAGAAGAAAUUAUCAAGAUCAAAAUAGCAUAUACAUAUUUCAAAGAAGAGAAUUCAGAACACAUGCUAGAUGUCUUACACAACAAACUCAUUUUUUUAAAAAAGGUUUUGAAACAUGCAGGUUUCAAAUUGCUCUGAUCAAAUGUCAGAACCAGAAUUUCUGCCCCCUUAGAAUUAUCAUGUAAUGCAAGUUGAGGAACAGGGGUAUUAUGCAAUUAUUCUUUAGCUCCUGCUGUAUCUUAAAAGCAUUAGGUAGGAUAUAUUGAAAUCUAGUUUUAUGUUGGGUGAUUUUCAUGGAUACAAAAUGAACCACCAUUCUGGUUGCUUAGAUUGUAAUGAAAGAUGGCUGUUUCUCUGUGUUUCUCUCAGGCCGGGGAGCUGCAGUCAACUAUGGCUUCCCAGUGGUGUGUACAAGAAGUAAAAAAACACUGGUUUGCAGAUUGCUGAUGAUUCUCUACAUGGUAAAUCUUACAGUUCUUCUCAGGCAGCCCUCUCAGAGUGAUGGAUUUUAAGUGCAACAAAAAUACAUGGAUUGGAGUCCCAUGAGGCUAAUCUACUAGAAACCAAAAGUCUUUGAGGACCACAUCAAAAUGAAUAAGAACUUUAUCAAACCUUGCCCGGACAGAGAAUUUCCUCCUCACGUUAAUAAGCUGGAAGAAGGUGUCAUUAAGGAUUUUCCUACCCCUUGUAUCAGAAAAUAGCAGGCCACUCUUUUGGAGAUCUGUGAAAAAGACUGGACAUUUUCUUGGCCUUAUUAGUGCGCCAGGCACAAUGGUGAUCCCUGAAGUUCUAAGGCCUUCCUGCCAACAGAUCCUGUACUCUUUAAAGGAAUAUACCAGCAGCUGCUGGGUUCAUGUAUCCUAAGAAUGAUGGGCUAUUUCUGGAAUGAUUAUUUCUGCCCUGGUUAAUUUUGAUCUAACGUUGACAACGGUGCCUCCUCUUUCCUGGGAGGUUCCACUCGGCUCAGAAGGAAUCAUCCAACCAGACUAAAAAUGCUUUUGCAGAGUCACCCCAAAACAUUGGCACUAUAUACAUUUUCCCAAACUUGAGCUGAGGUUGGGAGAGGAGAGUGUGUGCGUAACGAAAAACGGAGCAAACCUGCACACAAAGAGCACCACUGAGGGAGGCCGCUGUCAGUUCUUAGUUUCUAAACAAGGCCUCCAGCCUGCUUAAGUUAGACCUCCUGGCCUAGAUUGCAGAGAGGGUGCGCGGGUGGGUUAAUUGCAGUUAUUCAGUGGCCGUGAAAGACUGUACAUGGUCAAAGGCAUUUAGUGGCACAGAGAACAAGACAUGUGCUGCGUCUCAGAGAGCCCUGGGUCACAUUAAAUCCUGGCACCAGUCCAGCUUCUGCUCGGCCAGAGCAGCAGUUGUGGUUACUUUCCCUGAAGACAAGGGUGCAAAAAUACACUUAGUGAUGAAACCUUUCAUUGUAAAUAUCCCAAAAGGCCAUUGUUUGUUUCUUUCAGGUUUUUUAAUUAGGGGUUUUCUGUAAGGAGAAACAUAUUUUUAACCACAGCUGUGUCUAAAUGGAAACGCUUGCUUUUUUUUUUUU